CUCUGUGCCAUGCUGACUGUAAGUUGCAACUUUUGAAUUCUCUAACUUCCGGCUGCUGGUGUUACCACGAUCAUUGUCAGUUUUGCAGGCGGAGGCGUGAGGAAGCAAUAGCAGAUGAGCAAAGUCUUGAAUAACAAGCAGAAACCUGGGC
rnacentral:lncRNA from 1 species